UACGUAGGGUGCAAGCGUUGUCCGGAAUUAUUGGGCGUAAAGAGCUCGUAGGCGGUUUGUCGCGUCGGCUGUGAAAACCUGGGGGCUCAACCCCGGGCCUGCAGCCGAUACGGGCAAACUAGAAUUCGGUAGGGGAGACUGGAAUUCCUGGUGUAGCGGUGAAAUGCGCAGAUAUCAGGAGGAACACCGAUGGCGAAGGCAGGUCUCUGGGCAUUAACUGACGCUGAGGAGCGAAAGCAUGGGGAGCGAACAGG
rnacentral:rRNA from 1 species